ACCAUAAUUGAUUUGAUCAAUUACACCUGUGUUUACCCUGCUAAGACAUGUCAACAUGGCUGCUGUGAUUUAGCAGCUAAAGAGCCACAUUAUUCCUUCAGGAGAAGCUAAGAGACGAGCAACAGUUUGUGCUUCUUAUGUAUUAGCAGUAGAUUUUAGUCAGAGAGCUAAGCAUCCAUUUCAUAGAAAGAUAGUUACCCGGUUGUUUAGCAAGACUUCCUGCUGUCUUAAUGGUAACCGGCCGGCUGCCCUCUUUGUUUGAUCAGGACAGCAGCGCAACGUGGGAAACAGGCAAAUAAGACUCUCUCCGAACACACCUGAGGCGCAUCACAUAAUAACAAGAGAUAACAAUACCAUGCGUGGAUCCAGCCAGCGGACUGUUGAGUAAGGUGCCACCAAAUCCUACACACUGUACCUUUAAUAUGUAAGCAUCAUUUUCAUGUUGUAGCUAGGUGGAGCUAAUUCUAGCUACUUCAUAUAAUGUUGGGUAGUUUAAUAUAUAACAGUGCAUAAUUAUUUUGUUGAUCAUAUAUUUUGUGUGUAAAAUCCCAAUAUGUAAAGUGACCAGUAACUAUAGCUGUAAAUACAUUCAGUGGAGUAGAAAGUACCCUACUGUAUUUCCCUAAAUGUAGUGGAGUAGAAGUAGAAGGUGGCUGCAAACCAAAUCAAAUAGGGAUCUGUGGUCUAAUCCACGUUUGUCAUGGAAGAAACCCCCCAUU